rnacentral:rRNA from 1 species
AACGUAGGACGCAAGCGUUAUCCGGAUUUACUGGGCGUAAAGCGCGGGCAGGCGGCUCGAUGCGUCUGAUGUGAAAUCUCCUCGCUCAACGGGGAGAGGCCAUUGGAAACGGUCGGGCUGGAGGGCAGUAGAGGCAGGCGGAAUUCCGGGUGGAGUGGUGAAAUGCGUAGAGAUCCGGAGGAACACCAGAGGCGAAGGCGGCCUGCUGGGCUGCACCUGACGCUGAACCGCGAAAGCCAGGGGAGCGAACGGG